rnacentral:rRNA from 1 species
GAUGAACGCUGGCGGCGUGCCUAAUACAUGCAAGUCGAGCGAAGGGACGAGGAGCUUGCUGCUCUGUUGUUAGCGGCGGACGGGUAAGUAACACGUGGAUAACCUACCUAUAAGACUGGGAUAACUUCGGGAAACCGGAGCUAAUACCGGAUGAUAUUUUGAACCGCAUGGUUCAAAAGUGAAAGACGGUCUUGCUGUCACUUAUAGAUGGAUCCGCGCUGCAUUAGCUAGUUGGUAAGGUAACGGCUUACCAAGGCAACGAUGCAUAGCCGACCUGAGAGGGGGAUAGGCCACACGGGAACUGAGACACGCUCCAUACUCCUACGGGAGGCAGCAGUAGGGAAUCGUCCGCAGUGGUCGAAAACCUGACGGAGCAGCGCCGCGUGAGUGAUGAAGGUCUUCGGAUCGUAAAACUCUGUUAUUAGUGAUGAACAUAUUUGUAAGUAACUGUGCACAUCUUGACGGUACCUAAUCAGAAAGCCACGGCUAACUACGUG